rnacentral:rRNA from 1 species
AUGUUCAAAUGGGACUGGCAAUGGAGAUGCAAAAAGCAUGGAGACAUGGCUUAUCUCAUGAGGUUACUCAACAAGAGCAGACUGACUGAAUUGCACAAGUUUGGAAACUUUAACCUGUUGGGGACAAAGGCUGUCAUAAAUGUGGAUAGUUGGACCUAUGAUACACAAGCCAUAGGAAAGUUGCACACUGUGUGGGUGAAAAUUGGCAAAAUGCCUGAGUGUUUCAAACAUUUUUUUGGUGCUUGUGAAGUAGCUGCUACUAUUGGCCCAGUCCUGGAGAUAGAUAUGAAAACAAUUUUGCUGAAAAAAUCGGAGCCAGGGUGA